UCCGGUUUGUCACCGGCAGUCUCAUUAGAGUGCCCAACUAAAUGUAGCAACUAAUGACAAGGGUUGCGCUCGUUGCGGGACUUAACCCAACAUCUCACGACACGAGCUGACGACAGUCAUGCAGCACCUAACUACAGGUUCUCCGAAGAGCAUCCCGAGACUUCUCCCAGGUUCCUGCAUUUUCUAGCCCAGGUAAGGUUCUUCGCGUUGCGUCGAAUUAAACCACAUGCUCCACCGCUUGUGCGGGCCCCCGUCAAUUCCUUUGAGUUUUAGCCUUGCGGCCGUACUCCCCAGGCGGAGAACUUAACGCGUUAGCUUCGCUACCAAGUACACAAGGUACCCAACAGCCAGUUCUCAUCGUUUACAGCAUGGACUAC
rnacentral:misc_RNA from 1 species